rfam:Larimichthys crocea isolate SSNF unplaced genomic scaffold scaffold43, whole genome shotgun sequence.
UGUUCCCUUUUAUGUAAGGCGCUUUGGAUAAAAGCGUCUGCUAAAUGACUUAAU